UACGAAGGGGGCUAGCGUUGUUCGGAAUUACUGGGCGUAAAGCGCACGUAGGCGGAUUGUUAAGUUAGGGGUGAAAUCCCGGGGCUCAACCCCGGAACUGCCUUUAAUACUGGCAAUCUCGAGUCCGAGAGAGGUGAGUGGAAUUCCGAGUGUAGAGGUGAAAUUCGUAGAGAUGUGGAGGAACACCGGUGGCGAAAGCGCGUAACUGGGUCAUAACUGACGCUGAGGAACGAAAGCUGGGGGAGCAAACAGG
rnacentral:rRNA from 1 species